UGCAAUCUAAAAAUAAUCGAGAUAUGUAAGAUUAUGCGGAGAGUAAUCGGAUUAUGCGGGAAGUAAUCGGCUCAGGCGGAAAGUAAUUGUGUAUUUGAUUUUAAUUUUUAAAGGAUUCAGUAUAAGAAAACACGGUCUAAACUGACAGCGUUACUGACGGUUUAAGAUUCGUCGGUAAUUACCGACAGAAAACUGAUUGUUGUUUGACGGAACGGAUUAUGUCGGUUUUCCGUAGAUAAUUAACUGACGGCAUAAUUUCCAUCGGUAAUUUUUUAUUUUCCGAUGGAUUAGUGAGGAAUCAUUACCGAUAAUAUUUGCCAUCAGUAAUCGGUAAAAGAAUAUAUCCGUUCGUGUAACCGUUUAAAAGUUCAAACAAAUGGAAGAUAAUUUACUAAAGGAAGCAUUUCCAUCGGUAAUGUUUUUCUGUUUUUUGACGGAAUACUGAGGCAAUUAUUAUCGUUAAUUUACACCGUAAGUAAUCGGUAAAAAAAAAUAUCCUUUAAUAUAGCCGUUUUAUAGCCGUUUAAAAGUUCAAACAUACUGACGGGAAACCGACAGAUUACUGACGGAAAACCGACAGAUUACUGAUAGAUAUGGGUUGUCUUUUCUCUAUAAAUACCCAAACCCGCUUCAUUCUCAUCAUCUCACUCAUACUCAAUCUUUGUUUGAAAAAAACCCGAAAAAAGUCUUCUUCUUAUUAUUUUCGAUCGUGGAUGGACGAACCAAUGCUAGAUUUGGAGUUGCACGGAUUAAGAGAUGAGUACGCCUGUGGUGUAGGUGAGUUCAUGGAUUUAGCUUGUGAACAACCUAGGGCCAAGAAACCCCGUAAGUCGAAAUGUCCAUGUUCGAUUUCUCGAAAUUCUCAUAAUAAAAGGAUUGAUUUAGUAUGGAGUAAUCUUUAUUCCAAUGGUUUUAUGCCGGGUUACAAGAUUUGGUUUCUUCAUUGUUAAAGCCAAAUGACCCGAAUAUUCUAGUGCUAGCGAACCAUAUAUUGCUGCUAGCGUAGAGGAACCUAGAACAGAAGUAGAUUAUGGAGUAGGUACUGUUCAGAUGGUUAAUGAUGCAUAUAGGAAAAAUAUGCAUUAUCUGGGUGAAAAUGUUGAUAGUUAUAGAGGAACCUAAUUCAGAAGCAUGGGAGUUUUUUUUCUAUGUUGGAUGCAAAUAAACAACCGCUAUAUGGAGGAUGUAGAGCAGGUCAUUUGGCUUUAUCAUCUACAAGCAGAUUGAUGACCAUAAAGACGGACUAUAAUUUGACUGAGGAAUGUGUGGAUGUGAUUACAGAUUUUGUUAAAGAUAUUUUACUUGAAGAUAAUAUAUUUCCAGGUACAUAUUACGAGAUUUAGAAGUUGGUUGCCGGUCUUGGUUUGCCGUAUCAGAUGAUAGUUGUAUGCGAAGACGAUUGCAUGAUUUAUUAGAAAGAAGACGAAAAUUGGACUAGAUGUCGAUUUUGUCGUAAACCGAGAUAUCAACAAACUGGCAGUCGGGUUCUUGUUCCACAUAAGCGGAUAUGGUAUUUACCUUUAACAGAAAGGUAGAAUCGGUUAUAUCAAUCUGAGCGUACGGCGGGUCCAAUGAGAUGGCAUGCAGAACAUAGAUCAGAUGGAGAGAUUACGUAUCCUUCAGAUGCUGAAGCAUGAAAACAUUUUCAAUCUGUGUAUCCAAAUUUUGUGUAUGAGCAACAGAACGUGUACUUAGGAUUAUGUAUAGAUGGUUUCAACCCAUUUGAAAAGUAUGGAAGGCAAUAUUCAUUGUGGCCAAUAAUCGUAACACCUUACAACUUGCCGCCAUCUUUAUGCAUGCGUUGAGAGUUUCUCUUCCUUUUGAUUCUUGUUCCCGGUCCAGAUCAUCCAAAGAGAUAACUUGAUGUGUUCCUCCAGCCAUUGAUGUAUGAGUUGCAAAUGUUAUGGGAUCAUGGUGUAAACGCAAAUGAUGUAUCAACCCAGCAGAAUUUCCAGAUGCGUGCAGUACUUAUGUGGACUAUCAGUGACUUCCCAGCUUAUGGGAUACUAUCUAGAUGGAAAAAUCAUGGAAAGUUAUCGUGUCCGUAUUGUCAAGAUAACACAGAUGCGUUCCAAUCAAGCACGGACGUAAGACGAGUUGGUUUGAUUGCCAUAGACGAUUUCUACCUGCUCAUCAUCCUUACCGGCGUACGAGAACAUUGUUUAAAAAGAAUAAGCAAGUGGUUAAUGUGCCACCUCCUGAAAUCGAUGGGCAUAAUUUACUAGAACAGUUACGAGAUUUUGGAGCAGAGAUGACUCCUGAUUGUGGUGGUAAUGGACAUUUCAACCUUAAUUUCUUAAUUUAGUGUUUUUGUUUUUUAUUUUUAAUUUACUAAUCCAUUUUUUGGUAAUUUUUAGCAAGAUUUCACUUGGCAUCGGGAUUCACAAAUGAUGUUCGCAAAGCAUUCAAGACUAUUACCGCUAAACAUUACUCUUACACUUUGCACGAGUUGAAUCGAAGGUGGGUGAAAGGAAAGAUGCCAAAAGGGGCGAACGAGAAAGUCUUUGUUGGUUUGGUUCGCUAUUGGGGUCAACCGGAGACGAUAACACUUUCCAAGAAUAAUUCGAAGAACAAAAAAAGCAACCGAGGCGGGUUGGGCAUUGCUACGCACAAUGCAUGUGCAACGAGCGCCUGUAGCCGACAACGACAACUUUGUUAAAGAUGGUGUGGUACCCGAUAAUCUUACUUUGAUGGAAGAUAUGCACACCAACAAAAAAACAAAGCAAGUACAAGAUGGUCAAGCAAAGAUGGUCCCCGAAAAGACGAAGAGCGUAAAGAGACAUAACUCCUUUCCCAAUUUGUUGAUGGUUCGGUGACUUCCUCUGAAUAGGGAUGAGAGAAGAUGAACGAAAUUCUAUACGAGGAAACCCAUAAAUCCAAGGGACGGAUUUUUGGGUUAGGAAAUCUUUCCCAAAUAUCAUCUUCUUCUCGUUCCUCGGGUUCCUCAUAUUCUCCGCUCAUCGAUUUUCAUCAAGCCAUGAAAGAAAAGGAUGAGCGGAUUGCGACUUUCGAGAUAGAAAUGGAAGAACAAAAAUCGGCAUUAGAAGAAUAGAAAGUGGAGAAAAUGCGGCGAGAUGCGGAGUACAAGAAGAGGGAUGAGGAGAUGGCAACGCUCAUGAAUGAGAUGCGCGCGAAGUUGUCGUGAUUUUUAUGAUUUCC